CCUACGAGAUGCAGCAGUGAGGAAUAUUGGUCAAUGGACGCAAGUCUGAACCAGCCAUGCCGCGUGCAGGAAGACGGCUCUCUGAUUUUUAAACUGCUUUUGUACGAGGGUAAACGCAGAUACACGUAUCUGUCUGAAAGUAUCGUACGAAUAAAGAUCGGCUAACUCGGUGCCAUCAGCCGCGGUAAGACGGAGGAUUCAAGCGUUAGCCGGAUUUAUUGGGUGUAACGGGUGCGUAGGCGGUCGGGUAAAUGAGAGGUGAAAGCCCGAGGCUCAACUUAGGAAUUGCCUUGGAUACUGUUCGGCUAGAGAGUAGUUGGGGUAGGCGGAAUGUAUGGUGUAGCGGUGAAAUGCUUAGAGAUCAGACAGAACACCGAUUGCGAAGGGAGCUUACCAAGCUACAUCUGACGGUGAGGCACGAAAGCGUGGGGAGCAAACAGGAUUAGAUACCCUUGUAGUC
rnacentral:rRNA from 1 species